ensembl:snRNA U1 U1 spliceosomal RNA
AGACUUACCUGACAGAGGAGAUACCAUGAUUACUAAGGUUGUUUUCCUGGGGGAGGUUUAUCUUAUCCAUUGCACUCCGGAUGUUCUGCAAUUUCCCCAAAUGUGGGAAACUCAACUGCAUAAUUUGUGGUAGUGGAGAACUGUGUUCGAGAUCUCCC